rnacentral:rRNA from 1 species
AUUGAACGCUGGCGGCAGGCCUAACACAUGCAAGUCGAGCGGAUGAAGGGAGCUUGCUCCUGGAUUCAGCGGCGGACGGGUGAGUAAUGCCUAGGAAUCUGCCUGGUAGUGGGGGAUAACGUCCGGAAACGGGCGCUAAUACCGCAUACGUCCUGAGGGAGAAAGUGGGGGAUCUUCGGACCUCACGCUAUCAGAUGAGCCUAGGUCGGAUUAGCUAGUUGGCGGGGUAAAGGCCUACCAAGGCGACGAUCCGUAACUGGCCUGAGAGGAUGAUCAGUCACACUGGAACUGAGACACGGUCCAGACUCCUACGGGAGGCAGCAGUGGGGAAUAUUGGACAAUGGGCGAAAGCCUGAUCCAGCCAUGCCGCGUGUGUGAAGAAGGUCUUCGGAUUGUAAAGCACUUUAAGUUGGGAGGAAGGGCAGUAAGUUAAUACCUUGCUGUUUUGACGUUACCAACAGAAUAAGCACCGGCUAACUUCGUG